rnacentral:lncRNA from 1 species
GCUGAGCAAGUGUGUCUGCCGUGACAUCUGCCAGCUAAGGCAGUAGGGCUGUGCCCCUGACUCCUGGCAUGCCUGCCCCCUCGCCACCCUGACAUGCUUGAUCUAGGCUUCAGUGGAACCUGGAGAAGAGGGUCUCUAGUCUAGUUCAAAGUGCCCCAGUCAGGGCUAGGGCUGGCUGGGCCACCUGGCUGUCCCUCCAAGGCCCGCUGAGCCUUGGCCUCACCCGAGGGCCAGCUGGACGAAUGCUCCAAUUAAAGGCCCUGGACUUACAGGGAAAACCAGAAGGUGCGAAGCAGCCAGGCCAUGCGGGUGUUUCUUGGAGACACAGCCCACUCUCACCCUUGCCAGAGGAUGGAUGGAGGGGAUGUUGUAGAAGCUUCCAGAAAAAAGUAAGGAGCUCUGUCCAAUGGCAGGUCCUGACCUGCAGCCACAUUUUCUGUAUUCACUUUGUCUUGUUGCACAACAAAAGACCUUAAAAAACAAGUUUAAAGAGGGAAGAGUUUACUUAUACUCACAGUUUGAGAGAACAGUCAGUUAUGACAGGCAAGGCCCAGUGACAGGACCGUGAGGCAGCUGCUAGCAUUGUAUCCACAGUCAGGAAGCAGAGAGGGGUGGAUGCUGGUGUUUAGCUCCCUUUUUAUGCUGUCCAUG